GAUGUCAAUAAUGAUUCAUUGUGUGUUGAUAUAAUAAACUGUGUGUUGUUUUGUGUGUUUACAGUCUGUCAUGCUGUGGGAUCACAGAGGAAGGCUGUUCUUCUCUGGGAUCAGCUCUGAAGUCAAACCCCUCCAGUCUCAGAGAACUGGAUCUGAGUGGAAACCAGCUGCAGGAUUCAGGAGUGAAGCUGCUGACUGGUUUUCUGGAGAGUCCACGUUGUAGACUGAAGACUCUGAGUCUGUCACACUGUAGGAUCACAGAGGAAGGCUGUUCUUCUCUGGGAUCAGCUCUGAAGUCAAACCCCUCCAGUCUCAGAGAACUGGAUCUGAGAGGAAACCAGCUAAAGGAUUCAGGAGUGAAGCUGCUGACUGGUUUUCUGGAGAGUCCACAUUAUAGACUGGAGACUCUGAGAUGGGAGUGGUGAGCUGAGUGCUGAUGAUCCAGAGAGCAUCUGGUCUUGUUCUGACGUUCCAACGCUUGUUUUGCUGAUGUUUCUGCCGCUUCGUUUCCCUUUACCCGUCUCUGUGUUGGACAACACGGUUUAAAUAGCACUCAACAAUGAGAAGAAAAGAGGUUUUGAGUAGAAUAUUGUAAAAAACAAAGCUUUAUUUCAAGAACACAGCGUGCUCAACACGGUCCAAUAACAACUAUCAACACACUGUAACUUUGGGCAUGAGAGGUUCAGAGCAGCUUUAAGAAACAUUGGGUUGGGUUUCAGAGGUUUACAGAAUAAAAGAGUUUCACCCUCACAUGAAAGAGGUUCAGAGCAGAAUAGAGUCAGAAAGAGAUCACAUGUUACAUUGGGGGACAGAGUAGACCCACUACUGUAAAGAAAAGUAGCCCUCCUCUCUUUAAAGUUGGCAAACUUCUCAAUAACUCUCUGGUUAAAGUCAAUCAUGUCUGUAACCUGCCUGUUUCCAUUAUUCUGGAGGGAAUGUGUCUGUUUUUCAGAACUUCUUCGUUGUGUUUUCGAUGCCAGUUCGGUCUCCUUCUGCUGACUGUAAACAGGGUUAGCUUCAUGCUGUUAGCGAGUUAGCUCCAUGCUCUUAGCUAGAUAACUGCGGCAAGAUUCGUGCUUUACACUUGUCUGAAGCUCUUUAGAUCCCUCACCCCGUUGUAGUCCAGAGAGUUUCAGUCCCUUUGGAACAACAGACAGGGGAAACUAAACAGCAUUACUCACUGAGCUCCAGCUGACAGCUCCGUUAGCUACCUGCUCCCGUAGCUCCGUGGAGCUCUCUGGCUGAGGGAACGAUACCGGUCUCUGAUCUGCCGAAUAGUCCAGUCACGUGAAAUAAUAAAACGAUGUCAUUGGCCAGAGCGCAAAUUUUUGCGCCCCAAGAUUCACGUUUCAUCCUCCAAUGAGAAGCCGUUCUUGCCGAAACGACCGUGAAAUGUUUGC